rnacentral:rRNA from 1 species
ACACGACUACAUUAGAUACCCGGGUAGUCCUAGCCGUAAACGAUACUCGCUAGGUGUCGGCCACGGUGCGACCGUUGUCGGUGCCGUAGGGAAGCCGUGAAGCGAGCCACCUGGGAAGUACGGCCGCAAGGCUGAAACUUAAAGGAAUUGGCGGGGAGCACAACAACGGGUGGAGCUUGCGGUUUAAUUGGAUUCAACGCCGGAAAUCUUACCGGGACCGACAGCAACAUGAAGGCCAAGCUGAAGACUUUGCCGGAUUAGCUG